AUGCCGCUUGCUUUCCUGCUAGCCUCUGCCUCCUCUGGUCUCGAAGUUGAUGAGACCCUGAUGCAAAGCGUCCAUGCAAAGCUCCCACAAUCAUCCGCUCCAUCUCAGCAGGAGGAGAGCAAUGGAAAUAACACCCCGUCGCGGUCCUGGUGCUUCUCUCCGUGGGCUCGCUUGCUCACCUCGGCGUUUGCGGCUUCUACAGGAAGGACUGAGCAGCCACUGUGCUGGAGUAGACUGUGUGACAGAUUUGCAAGAAUAUUAUGUUAUGUAAGAACAUGGCGGUGCAAUCACCCGAGGUGA
rnacentral:rRNA from 1 species